rnacentral:tRNA from 1 species
GGUCUGGUGGUGUAGUUGGUUAUCACGUCAGUCUAACAGCUUGAAGCAAUUCGGUUGAGCACACUGAAGGUCUCCGGUUCAAGUCCGGGCUAGAUCA